rnacentral:rRNA from 1 species
GACGAACGCUGGCGGCGUGCUUAACACAUGCAAGUCGAACGGUAAGGCCCUUCGGGGUACACGAGUGGCGAACGGGUGAGUAACACGUGGGUGAUCUGCCCUGCACUUCGGGAUAAGACUGGGAAACUGGGUCUAAUACCGGAUAGGACCCUGGGAUGCAUGUCCUGGGGUGGAAAGCUUUUGCGGUGUGGGAUGGGCCCGCGGCCUAUCAGCUUGUUGGUGGGGUGAUGGCCUACCAAGGCGACGACGGGUAGCCGGCCUGAGAGGGUGACCGGCCACACUGGGACUGAGAUACGGCCCAGGCUCCUACGGGAGGCAGCAGUGGGGAAUAUUGCACAAUGGGCGCAAGCCUGAUGCAGCGACGCCGCGUGAGGGAUGACGGCCUUCGGGUUGUAAACCUCUUUCAGCGCCGACGAAGCGCAAGUGACGGUAGGUGCAGAAGAAGGACCGGCCAACUACGUGCCAGCAGCCGCAGUAA